AAACGCCGUAGCAGGUCUCCUAUGCUGGUUUUUCAUAUUUUUGCACCAUGUAAGUUCAAUUUUUACUUUUUCUUAGUAAUUUUUAUGUUUUUGUGACUUUUACAAUUAGGUCCAAUCAUCUAAUUCAUUAGUUUUUGAUUUGGUGGAUGAAAUUGGAAGUUCCCAUGGCUGAGUAAGGGCAGUUUAUGAUGAAUUAUUAUGAAAUUGAAGUUCUAAUUUCAUAUUAAGGUUGUUUUAUUAAGUCAUUUUGAUAGAAAAUGGUAUUUAGGACCUAAUUGUGAAAACAAUUGUGAAUUAGAUGUUGGUGUUGAAAUUCAGAAUAUCAAAGGUUGUGAAAUAGUUUAUAAUGAUAAAAUAAAGUGUUAAUUGAGAAAAAUUAGUUCAAUUUAUGGGUGAAUUGAGUAGGGACUAAAUUGUAAAAAUUGUAAAUUUUGGGGUAAAAGUGCAAUUUCGAAAUUUGAACAGCAUAAAUUGUGAAGUGAAAUAGAAAUCAAAUAAAUGCUAAUGAGUAGAAAUAAUUUAUAUUAUAGAUCAAGAGAAACGAGAUUCAAGUCGUGAUCGAGGGAAAAAUAAAGUUUACGAGGAAUAAGCUCGAUUGCUAAUAUUUUAUAUCGAGGUCAGUUCAUAUGAUUUUUAAUAAUGCAAUGUGUAAUUUAAUGUUUUGAAAUGAAAAUUUCAUGAAUGAUAUAGUAUAUUAUUGCAUAUAAAAUGUCAUUAAACUGUGAUAAUUGUAAAAUGAUAUUUGAAUAAAAGUACAAAUUAAAUGGAACAACGGACUUGAGUACUUUCAUUCAGUGGCUAAGACGAAUUGACGGAAAGACCAUGGUUGGACCAUGGCAGCAUGUGAAAUGUGAUUUCCGUAUAAGACCAUAGCUGGGCUAUGGCUUCGGAGAAAUGUGAUAUGUGUUUCCGUAUAAGACCAUAUCCGGGAUAUGGCAUCGGUGUGAUAUGUGCUACUGUAUAAGACCAUAUCUGGGAUAUGGCAUCAGUGUGAUAUGUGAUCCGUGUAAGACCAUGGCUAGGCUAUGGCCUCGGUAUGUGAUAUGUGACUAUGUGCAAGACCAUAGUUUUACUAUGGCAUUGUGAUAAUGAGGUACUCAAUUCCGUAAUCGUUCCCUAAUUUGAUUAUGAACGAAAAUGUAAAAUGGCCCGAAAAGAUUAAGAAUUGGUGAAUACUAUGAAAAUGACACGAUUUGGAAUAAGUUCUUGAUACUUGAUGACAUUGAGAUUAUGGAUCUAUGCUUAUGAAGCAUAAUUAUGUGUUCUUACCAUGAUGGAUGAAAUGAUAUUGUAUGGAUUUAGUGAAUAAUAGUGGUGAAUGAAUAAAUAUGGCCUUGGCAGUUUUGGGUUACUACAGUAGUGUAUAUUUUGAAAUUCACCAUAAAUUGUGGAAAUUGAGUUAAGGGCUGAAUAAAAUAUGAGAUUAAAGCCUGAUGAGUUUAGUUUCAUAUAGAGGAAACGGUGCAUGCAAUUGGAUUUUAUGUUAUAAGAUAUUUAAAUUGUUGUGAGACAGAGUUUGAAUGAUUCGAGAUCCCCUGUUCUGAUUUUAGAAAAUCAUUAGAAAUUGUACAAAAAUAUUUAUGAGUUUUAAUUUAUAUAUUUAAAAUCCUUAUCGAGUCUAUUUUCAAGAGGGAUAGACGGGAACAUCAUCCAAGUCCCGAAUUAUGAGAUAAAUAAUUUUUAGUGAAGAGAGAUCAGAACUGUUGGACAGCGAAACAGGGGAGACUUUAAUGAAUAAACUGUACUAAAUGGCUAAACCAAAAAUUCUGGAAAUUUUAUGGCAGAAAGGUAUAUGAAUCUAGUUUCAAGGAAAAUUAACGGAACUUAAUUUGAAGUUUCGUAGCUCCAGAAAUAAAUUAUUUAGUAAAUGUAUCUCGAUAAAACAGUUUAAGCUGAGUAUGUAUAAUUGUACAAUUGUGGUGUUUUAUCUUAAAAGCAUGUUGGUAAUUGCUUAUUAAUUUCAUAUGGACUUACUAAGCAUUUAUGCUUAGUCCCUCCUUUUCAUUCCUUGUAGUUUUGAUAAGCCAGCUCGGAAAUCGGGAACGGUCGGAGGCCCACUCACACUAUCCGUAUACCAUCUUGGCGUAAUGGCUUGUAUAUUUUGAGUAUGGCACGUAUAGCAUUAUAAUCAUUUUGUAUAUAUGGUCUUAUGAUAUGGAUAUUGAGUGGUAUGGAAAUGUUUGGUAAUGAUUAGCCAUUGGAAUGGCUAAUCAUGAUCAUAUUUGGUGUUAUAUAUGCUAAAUUGCUAGCUAAUCCAUGGAAACCAUGAAAUAGGCAAAAUUUACCAUAAAAUAGAUCCAGACAGCAGCAGUAAUGUGAGUUUGAAAAAUCAUUAAAAAUAGUAGAGAUACAAUUAGAUGAUGAAUAAAAUAUGGAAUUGAA
rnacentral:lncRNA from 1 species